rnacentral:rRNA from 1 species
GACGAACCGUGCGAACGUUGUUCGGAAUCACUGGGCGUAAAGGGUGCGUAGGCGGGUCUUUAAGUCAGGGGUGAAAUCCUGGAGCUCAACUCCAGAACUGCCUUUGAUACUGAGGAUCUUGAGUUCGGGAGAGGUGAGUGGAACUGCGAGUGUAGAGGUGAAAUUCGUAGAUAUUCGCAAGAACACCAGUGGCGAAGGCGGCUCACUGGCCCGAUACUGACGCUGAUGCACGAAAGCGUGGGGAGCAAACAGG